UGAGAUGUGAGUGGAGUUACAUAAGCAAGGGCAGGGCAGCUCGGCCCACGAGAAGAGCCUGUUCAAAGGUGGGAGGUAUGGAGGCGGGCCUCUGGGUGGCUGCCGUGUGUGAGAAGGGAAGGCGGAUUGUGUCUCCAGGAGCAGCUACAGAUAAGAUGCAGCAUCGGCAGAGUGUUCUUGGCAUCACCACACUCUUGGCAAGUGCUUCGCGUUUCAUCUAGAACUCAGAGACCGUUCUAGUUGCACAGAAGGCUGAGAACAAGAUGGCCUCCAGCCCAGAGAGGUCUGGGCUGGCUGCCGGGGGCUGACUUCCCCAGGACUCAUCCCCAGCCCUUCCAACUGCACCCCUUCUGGAAGAUUGCCUCACUCCAUCCUCAACACCCCCCUUGCCUUGGAAGAUGCUCUUCCUUCCCCCUGGAAUAUUCCUCAUCACCGUUCUAUGCCCUAGAUCACCUGGGCUGGGAUCCAGGUGCCUCUGCCCGAGCUAAGUCCCUGCUCUGUACCCCCAGGGCACCAUGGAUUCGCCCAACCAUGCAUGACAUCCAGGACACUGGAAUGCUCUGCUCUCUGUCUGGCUGCCUCCCAGCCGGUACCCUCCAGGAGGGCAGGGACAGGGACCACGAAACCCUCAGUGGAUGUUUGCAGAGUGGACACAUGGAGAUUGGCUGGCUCCUCUCAUUUUCUGGCCUUACCUCCCUCAGAGGCAAUACCUUCAGAUGGCAAUAUAUUCAUUUCAUCUGGACCCACUUCUGACAGCCAUUUUGUUCAGUAACAGAGAUGCUGGAAUGAUGUCGCCUGUUGAUUAUUUUGGGGGUUUUGGGUUUGCUUUAGAAACCGAUGGGUUUGCUUUUGAAACUGAUGGGUUCAUUUCCUCUGGACUGCUUGUCUCAAAUAAUGGUGCCACGCAGACCAGAGGACAAAAGAUUCCCAAGUGUUUGACCUGCUUCAGCCUGUGUUUUGGGGCUAACAUGUGGGUUUGCUGCAGUGACCAUGGAGCUCUUGCCAGAGCUGGGCUCCCAGGACAGAUGUUGGAAUGCUCUGCAAUUUCAGAUGAGUCUUUUCAUGGUCAGGUGGGCAUCACUCAAGGAGAGAUGUAUAGUCUAUCUGCCUGAUGAGGUGUGAGCCUCACAGUGUGAGCCUUUCUCUCACCUAAUAACCACCUGGCACACCCAGUUGGCAUUCUGGCAUUUGGGCCACCUCAUGGUGCAGAGCAGGGGUCACCAAAUGACACCCCUCAAGCCAAAUCUAGCCCACAACCUGUUUUUGUAAAUAAAGUUUUAUCGGAACA